rnacentral:rRNA from 1 species
GAAUAUUGGACAAUGGGGGCAACCCUGAUCCAGCCAUGCCGCGUGUGUGAAGAAGGCCUUCGGGUUGUAAAGCACUUUAAGUUGUGAAGAAGGCUUUGCUCUUAAUAAGGGUGCGGAUUGACAUUCGCAACAGAAUAAGCACCGGCUAACUCCGUGCCAGCAGCCGCGGUAAUACGGAGGGUGCAAGCGUUAAUCGGAAUUACUGGGCGUAAAGCGCACGUAGGCGGCGUGGUCAGUUGGGUGUGAAAGCCCCGGGCUUAACCUGGGAAUUGCAUUCAAUACUGCCAUGCUAGAGUAUGAGAGAGGAAGGUAGAAUUCCAUGUGUAGCGGUGAAAUGCGUAGAUAUGUGGAGGAAUACCAGUGGCGAAGGCGGCCUUCUGGCUUAAUACUGACGCUGAGGUGCGAAGGCGUGGGGAGCAAACAGG